GACACUAACAAUAAUUUGAAUAUUCAAAAUCGCCUUGAUCAUUCCCUACUAAACUUGUUGAUUAAUCAUAAUCCUUUUUCAAAAUUAAAAUCUGUCAAACCAAAUUCUUCCAGCUUAUUGGUCUAAGUCACUUUUUUUUCUUUGACUGGAGCCUCCUCUAGCUCUUUAAGGUUUAUUUUAUGUUACGGAAUGUAAAUAUAUUUGAAAAACAUUAUAACAAACAAAAUUAAUGUUUAUAUUGGUCAAAUCUAUAUUAGUUUUGAUUUUUGACAAAACCUGCUGCAGCCCCUUAAACGUUAUUCUAAAUUAACUAUCAUAGAAUAAGUCAGACAUACAAAUUACAAAUGUUGUAUAGAUAAUUAAGAAGUAAUCUGAUAAAGCUUAUCUUUAUAAAGUAAUAUUUUUGCGGUGGACGAGGAUAAGCUCUAGUUGACAUUGUGGGUAAGAGAACAACCGAAAAGGAGAUGCUUAGAUACAAAAUAUAAUGGAUGUGAAGAAGAAUAAGAAAGUCUUAUUUUAUAUUAUUUAUUGUUGAACUUUUUUUUUUUAAGAAAUUUAUAAUGUCUAUUAUAGGCUCGAAUUUUAAUAUCAUCAUUUUCAUUGGGUUGUAAUUUUUGUUUGCCGGUUAGUAGUCUAUUUAUUGAUGAAAAAUUUUGUUAUUAAGUUGAGAAAUGUUGGACCAAAAUCAGAUCCAUGUUAGACACAGUUUAUGAUAUUUAUAUUGAAAGUUGUAUUAAUUGUAUUAAAUAUUAUAGUUUUUAUAUCAUAAUGAUGUCAAAUAGAAGGUACUUCUUUAGAUAUUAAGUUAUAAAUAUUUUGAACUAAAGUAGCUAAUUUAAUAUUUGGAUAUUUCAAACAUUUAUAUUGGGUUUUAUACUCACAAACAGUUAUAAUGUUAUGAGAUAAAUUAUCUGCUCUGUCAGAACAUAAGGUGUCACCUUUGAAAAACUGUUCAUUUAAUUUUUUACAAAUGCACCAUGCAAUAUAGUUAUGGCACAUUAGAUUUAAGUCACUUAACUCUAUAGAUAUGUAAGAAUAUUUCUGUUGGUCCAGACUGUGAGACACUCUCGAUUGUGAUGGAUUAAUAUCAUUAUCAACACAAUUUUGUUGGAAUAAAAAUUAUUGUUAUAUAAGACACUAAUGGGCCCUCAGUAAAAUUCUCCUCACAAUUACUACCAUCAGAAUGUAUAGAAUACAGUCAUGUUAUUAAUAAUAAACAAUAAUAGUCUUAUAUGUAUCGCUAAAUGCUUCAAGAGAUGGAUUAGUGUUCCGAUAUCCAAGAACUUCUCACUGUGUUUGUGCCUAACAAGUUCUCCAAAGGAUCUUGGUUGAAAGUUCAAAAUUCCCGGAGUUUUCCCAAAGCUGGAAGUGUGGAGAUUGACAUUUAACAGCUGUGCGAUAAACUUUUCCACCUACUAUUUUUUUGUGAUGAACCAUUGACUAAAUCAAACAAUUGGUCGGAAGAUUAAUCAAAGUUUUGAUGUACCCUCAGCACUUCUAUCAAGUAUAUUUUUACCUGAAACAUAAAAAAAUAAAAAUUUAUAUCUAGAUUUAACCCGGUGACUUACAAUCUGAGCAGCAUUUUUCACUUUCAUUAGUGGAAUCUUAUCAGGAGUGACAUGAAAUUCAGUUAAUCGAGGUAGCAUUCGAACAUCAGGAAUACUACUAUCAAUAUUGUAUAUAUCAAGGAGAUCUUUUCAUUUGGCUUCAUAUCCAUUGUAAUU
rnacentral:lncRNA from 1 species